AUUGCACAAUAGAGCAGAUGUAGUCAUUGUACCUUUUGUAUAAUGGGUUCGCGAGUAAAAUAUUUGGCAAACUUAAGUCGAUGGACGGAGGUGUAGCGAAAGCGAGCCAGGCGAGGCGCGAGUCAAAUACGACCCGAAACCAAGUGAUCUAAUCAUGGGCAGUCUGAAACUUGUCGCAAGGCAAGAUGGAGGGACGCACCGGUGGUUGUGGCAAAAAUCUCGGAAGACCUGUGGUAAGUGGUGAAAGGCCAAUCGAACUUGGCGAUAUCUGGUUUUCGACGAAAGCUAUUUAAGUAGUGUGUUGCUGUAUAAGAUAAUUUACCCCCGCAUGGUAGGGCACUGAUCGGGCCCAGGGCAGAUAGCUGCUUUGUGUUCAGUCAAACCACGAAGGCACCACAAGCGACUAACCACCAACCUGGGGUUGGUCGUAUCUAAGUACUUAUGUGGGCAAAAUGUGCGGGGGGAAAGAGUAACAAUCAGACAGUUGGUGCGAAGGUCGACUGUCGAGAGGGGAAUAUAGUACAGGGAAAUUUUCAGAAUUUUGACAUUUUCUUAAAAGUGGUCAUAACUUUAAAAAUUGAAGUCGGAAUCGGCUCAAACUUUCUACACAGCAUAAGUAC
rnacentral:ncRNA from 1 species